rnacentral:rRNA from 1 species
AGACGGGGGGUGCUAGCGUUGCUCGGAAUCACUGGGCGUAAAGGGCGCGUAGGCGGCCCGUCGCGUCGGGCGUGAAAUCCCGGGGCUCAACUCCGGAACGGCGCUCGAUACGGGCGGUCUGGAGGCCGGAAGAGGAGGGCGGAAUUCCCGGUGUAGAGGUGAAAUUCGUAGAUAUCGGGAGGAACACCGGUGGCGAAGGCGGCUCUCUGGUCCGGUCCUGACGCUGAGGCGCGAAAGCGUGGGGAGCAAACAGGAUUAGAAACCCUAGUAGUCCC